GGGGCUGCUAGGCUGCUACACUGGGUUUCUUCCUUCAUUUGGAUUUCAACUUUUACCAAGAUGGCAUGUUUCCCUAACCUGGUCUACAAGCAGUGGUGGGAUGGAAGAGUAGCCGUGCUUCUCGUACUGAACAACUUCCUUACUGGAUUUCAUUGGAAGUACUACUGUAUUUUAAGCUUCCUUGCAUUGGUUCGGGUUUUCUUUAGCACCUCUAUCCAGGUAUGAGAUCAGUGGUUUUGCUCUGCCACCUAUUCCUACCAUGAGGGCUCAACACAGGCCUAAAACAACAUGGAUCAAUUGACAAGAGACUAAAGCCUCCUAACUUUGAGUCAAAAGCAACCCUCUUGUCUUGAUAAGAUACAUAUGGAUUUACAUGAGGAAAAAAAUGUAUCUUUAAUAACUGAUGAUGGUAAAGUUUUUCACUCAUUCAAAUUACUGUCCAUAUGGAAAAACAAAUAAAGUCAUUAUGUCUAUGAUUAAAAGUGGAGCAAUGUAAUACCUCUGGGGCUAGAGUUCUAAGUGAAGACAAUUUUGACUCCUGGCAAUGUCUAGAGAUAUUUAUUGUAGUUUGGGGUAGGG
rnacentral:lncRNA from 1 species